CCCAGACAGCCAGGAUGUUGGCUUAGAAGCAGCCAUCAUUUAAAGAAAGCGUAAUAGCUCACUGGUCGAGUCGGCCUGCGCGGAAGAUGUAACGGGGCUAAACCAUGCACCGAAGCUGCGGCAGCGACGCUGAUGCGUUGUUGGGUAGGGGAGCGUUCUGUAAGCCUGCGAAGGUGACCUGUGAGGGUUGCUGGAGGUAUCAGAAGUGCGAAUGCUGACAUAAGUAACGAUAAAGCGGGUGAAAAGCCCGCUCGCCGGAAGACCAAGGGUUCCUGUCCAACGUUAAUCGGGGCAGGGUGAGUCGACCCCUAAGGCGAGGCCGAAAGGCGUAGUCGAUGGGAAACGGGUUAAUAUUCCCGUACUUGGUGUUACUGCGAAGGGGGGACGGAGAAGGCUAUGUUGGCCGGGCGACGGUUGUCCCGGUUUAAGCGUGUAGGUGUGUGUUCCAGGUAAAUCCGGUUCACUUUAACACUGAGGCGUGAUGACGAGGCACUACGGUGCUGAAGCAACAAAUGCCCUGCUUCCAGGAAAAGCCUCUAAGCAUCAGGUAACACGAAAUCGUACCCCAAACCGACACAGGUGGUCAGGUAGAGAAUACCAAGGCGCUUGAGAGAACUCGGGUGAAGGAACUAGGCAAAAUGGUGCCGUAACUUCGGGAGAAGGCACGCUGACACGUAGGUGA
rnacentral:rRNA from 1 species